UUCUGCUCUGCACAUUGGCUGCAAAACAUCUCCAUCGGAAAUCAAGUUUACCCACCCUCCUCCCCGUUUUCUGGCGCAAUUCCUUUUGAUAUGUAUACUAGUUCUUAGUGGUGGGCGUUUGAAUUACCCCCACCUUUUCUGUGCGAACAAUUUUCUUAAUAAUUACUUUUACGAACAUUAGUUUCCUUAAUAAUUUGUUAUAUUAAUAAUUAUGUUAUUCAUUACAAAAAAAUAAUAAACCGGCAUGUGCUUAUAACGCACAUUGCCAUAAUUAUUCCAAUUGGUGUACGAUUGGUUUAUUGCGCAAAAGCCUACGCACAGAAAACAGAGCUCAUCAUAACAAGGAACUGACAGAGUAGAUUAGCAUGGAUUAAAUUUAAGGGAAG